rnacentral:tRNA from 1 species
GGAGGAUUAGGCUCAGCUGGGAGAGCAUCUGCCUUACAAGCAGAGGGUCGGCGGUUCGAGCCCGUCAUCCUCCACCA